rnacentral:rRNA from 1 species
CGUAGGGGGCAAGCGUUGUCCGGAUUUAUUGGGCGUAAAGAGCGUGUAGGCGGCCUGACAGGUCUGCUGUGAAAACUCGAGGCUCAACCUCGAGAUGUCGGCGGAAACCGUCUGGCUAGAGUCCGGAAGAGGAGAGUGGAAUUCCUGGUGUAGCGGUGAAAUGCGCAGAUAUCAGGAAGAACACCUAUGGCGAAGGCAGCUCUCUGGGACGGUACUGACGCUGAGACGCGAAAGCGUGGGGAGCGAACAGG